UACAGAGGGUGCAAACGUUGCUCGGAAUCAUUGGGCGUAAAGCGCACGUAGGCGGCCUAGCAAGUAGGGAGUGAAAGCCCUCGGCUUAACCGAGGAAGUGCUUUCUAAACUACUAGGCUUGAAUACUGGAGAGGGUCGCGGAAUUCCCGGUGUAGAGGUAAAAUCGUAGAUAUCAGGAAGAACACCCGUGGCUAAGGCGGCUCUCUAGUACGGUACUGACGCUGAGACGCGAAAGCGUGGGGAGCGAA
rnacentral:rRNA from 1 species